UGUUUUUUUCUUAAAACAGGUACUGAGGAUAAAACAAUAUAAAAUAAUAUGAGAGGGUCUUUCUCUUCCUUCAUUCCCCCCUUUUGAGACUCUCACUUUUUAUUAGCGGGAGUUCUCACUCUUAUUUUUGUUACUUAUGUCUUUUUGUGCAACAGAUUGAUAGUGAUUUAUAUAGUACACUUGUGCUGAAGCACUUUGGUGAACUAAGGUAGCGAUGAAGCUUUUUAUCAUUUGAAGAAGUACAGCAACCCCAUGAGGUUGAUAAUACUAUGACCACCAAUGCCAUUUCAUUGGUGAGGAAGUUGAAGCAAAUAAAGUCCAAGUAACUUGUCCAACCCCACAUCAUUAUGUAGUGGUUUCUCAGAGACUUGAAUGAAGGGCAUCUGGAUCCAGAGUGCCAGCUCUUAACCACCAUGUUAUGCUGAGUCUUCUAUUUGAGCAAUGGAAUAAACUGUUCUCUGCAAUGACUACACUCACAUUUGUUGGAGCUAUGUGUGUUCAUUGACUGGAGCCAACUGUUGUGAAAUGGGUUGAAUUCUUGAUUUGAUUCUU
rnacentral:lncRNA from 1 species